GCAGCACCAACCUGGGGUGCGAGACCAGCCUGCGGUGCUGGGCUUCCAGGAGCUGCUGCUGCAGGAGGUAUUGCUGGUGCAGGGCCUGAGGAAAGAAAUGCCUGAAGAAGAGUUAAAAGCGCACUGCGGUUGAGGGAUUUUGCCUCUGGUGUGGAGGGCAAAGGGCAGACCGAAGCUGCUUGGCUCAAUGUGUCUUAUGCUAGUCUAUUCAGCCUUGUAUAUU
rnacentral:lncRNA from 1 species